GAAGCUGACAUAUAAGUGGUACAUACACUAAAAUUGGAACUAUACAGAGAAGAUUAGCAUGGCCCCUGCGCAAGGAUGACACGCAAAAUCGUAGUGUCCGGUCAGAGGGUU